rnacentral:rRNA from 1 species
GAUGAACGCUGGCGGCGUGCCUAAUACAUGCAAGUCGAGCGAACAGAUGAGGAGCUUGCUCCUCUGACGUUAGCGGCGGACGGGUGAGUAACACGUGGAUAACCUACCUAUAAGACUGGGAUAACUUCGGGAAACCGGAGCUAAUACCGGAUAAUAUAUUGAACCGCAUGGUUCAAUAGUGAAAGACGGUUUUGCUGUCACUUAUAGAUGGAUCCGCGCCGCAUUAGCUAGUUGGUAAGGUAACGGCUUACCAAGGCAACGAUGCGUAGCCGACCUGAGAGGGUGAUCGGCCACACUGGAACUGAGACACGGUCCAGACUCCUACCGGAGGCAGCAGUAGGGAAUCUUCCGCAAUGGGCGAAAGCCUGACGGAGCAACGCCGCGUGAGUGAUGAAGGUCUUCGGAUCGUAAAACUCUGUUAUUAGGGAAGAACAAAUGUGUAAGUAACUAUGCACGUCUUGACGGUACCUAAUCAGAAAGCCACGGCUAACUACGUG